ACCCAACAGGUAGAUGUUCAUAAAGCUGAUCUUUGUUCUAUAUGAUUGGGAACCAGUUAGGACUGCAUUUUUACUUAUUUAUUUUUGGUUUCGUCCAUAAAAAAUAAUCUCAUGAGAUCUUGGUUUUGUACAUCUUGCAAACAGGUGUCCCUGCAUUUUUGGACUCCUCCAAUUCUAAUUUUUUUCUUAUUCUGAUGGCAUUUUAUCUGAUGGAGUCUAGUUCAUGAGAAAAAUUUAGUUUGCACUGAAUUUCUAAAGAAUGUAUGCAAUGUGACAUAACUGUUAGAUGGAACACAGGCAGAAGCCUCUCCAAUAUAUAUUCACAUUUGAUUUCUGAGGUUCCAAAGCAAGUCAACUGCCAGAAUAGACAACCACAUCCAUCAUGAAAUUUGCAGCUAUUCUUCUGCUAGGCAGCCUGAUGAUCUGCUGUGACUCGGCUGCAGCUGUUGAUCCAUGCAAAUCAAUAGAUGAUUUCGUCGCUAUCUAUCUUUUUGGCACACAUGAUGAGUAUGUGCAGGCAGCCACUCCCUUUGCAACCACUGCUGCUAUGAUAGAAGCCGCUUCGCAGACGAAAAAAUGCGUAGAGAAAGUUCCAUUGGUGUAUCGAAAAGCUAAAGCUAAAAUAAUGAAAAAUGUCAGCAAGUCGUGUUCAGAUGCAUCGCAGGCUCAGCAAAAUUGAAUCACCAAGGAAUUUAUGAUGACAAUUCAAAAUGAUGAUCUUCAUAUCGAAGAAAGUUUUUGUACUUCAUGUCUUUUACUCCAAGGAAAAUUAAGAUAAUUCUGUUCUUCAUGAUCAGGGAUCUUCAAAUGCUUAUUUUAACUAAUUUACAGGGUAGUUGUUUUUUAAACAAAAAUACACAAUAGCAACCAAAAAAUUAUAUCAAUGCUUACAUUGUGUAAUAUUGCUAAAGUGUUUUAAUACAUUGAGUAAAAAUCUAAAUAAUAAUGAAGAAAAGGCUAUUUCUCAAAUCUUUGAGAUGCGACACAAGAUCAGUGGGAGUGGGGAGGGAGAGGAUGUGCAUAAUGGAGAAACGAGUGAGCAAAAACUAGGAUAUUUCAAGGAGUUUGGAUGCAAAAAGAAGAUUAUCCAGGCGAAACCAAAACAAAAAUAAUUGGAAAGUCUCGACAUGUUUUUCCUUUUUACUUAAGCUCAUAGAAUGUUUGCUCAUGUACAGAAUGGCUAUAAUUAUUGGUCAUAAUUAUUCACAAACCACUGAUUUUCUAAAAGACCAAGUGAUGAGUUGUAAAGAAAUAAGAAAAGAAAGAUCUCAAGAAUCUAAGUAAAAGGCCAAAAUGUGAUUCAA